rnacentral:rRNA from 1 species
CUUGGUCAUUUAGAGGAAGUAAAAGUCGUAACAAGGUCUCCGUUGGUGAACCAGCGGAGGGAUCAUUACAGAGUUGCAAAACUCCCAACCAUUGUGAAUCUACCUCACCGUUGCUUCGGCGGGUGGCCCGGGUCUCCCCCGGUGCCGCGUCGGCGCCCCUCUCGGGGCCCGGCAAACCCGUCAGAGGACCGAAACUCUUCGUCAUCAUUGGCCUCUCUGAGUAACUUAUACAAUAAGUCAAAACUUUCAACAACGGAUCUCUUGGUUCUGGCAUCGAUGAAGAACGCAGCGAAAUGCGAUACGUAAUGUGAAUUGCAGAUUUCAGUGAAUCAUCGAAUCUUUGAACGCACAUUGCGCCCGCUAGUAUUCUGGCGGGCAUGCCUGUCCGAGCGUCAUUUCAACCAUCAAGCGCCUGCGCUUGUGUUGGAGCCCUGCGGCUGCCGCAGGCUCCCAAACCCAGUGGCGGGCUCGUCGUCGUACCGAGUGCAGUAAACUUACCACGCUCAGGGCACGCGACGGGUGACCGGCCGUAAAACCCCCCCAUUUUAUCAAGGUUGACCUCGGAUCAGGUAGGAAUACCCGCUGAACUUAAGCAUAUCAAUAAGCGGAGGA